UACUAGAGUAGCACUCGCAUAUCAAUAAGCGGAGGAAAAGAAACUAACAAGGAUUCCCCUAGUAACGGCGAGUGAAGCGGGAAGAGCUCAAAUUUGAAAUCUUAAAGGGUUUCCCUUUACGAAUUGUAGUUUAAAGAAGUGUUUUCUGUUGAGGUUUUGGUAAAAGUUCUUUGGAAUAGGACAUCAUAGAGGGUGAGAAUCCCGUAUUUGACCUUUACUUUCAACUUUGUGAUACACUUUCAAAGAGUCGGAUUGUUUGGGAAUGCAGUCCAAAAUGGGUGGUAAAUUUCAUCUAAAGCUAAAUAUUGGCGAGAGACCGAUAGCGAACAAGUACCGUGAGGGAAAGAUGAAAAGAACUUUGAAAAGAGAGUUAAACAGUACGUGAAAUUGUCAAAAGGGAAGCGUUUGACACCAGCGUUGUUUUUCUGAAAAUCAAUUAAAGAACUGUUUAUGCUAAGCUGUUUAGACUUUAUCAGCUAUCUGUUUAGUUUUGAGCUUUUCUUUAAUGCACUUUUCAGUUAACAAGUCAACAUCAAUUUCUUUUGCUGUAAAAAAGCUUGAGGAAGGUGGCUUGAGAUUCGUCUUAAGUGUUUAUAGCCUCUUGCCUAUGCAGUCGGAGAGAUUGAGGUCUGCAGCGUAGAUCCUUCGGGGCUAAAUGCAUUUGUGCUAAGUUAUAGCAUUUUAUAGACAACUUGUUGACUAUGAUUCGUCUUGUAGCUUACUCGCUUAUGUUAUUUUACCUACGCUUAGGAUGUUGAGCGCAUGUCUCUCUCU
rnacentral:rRNA from 1 species